UACGUAGGCAGCAAACGUUGUUCGGAAUUACUGGGCGUAAAGAGUGUGUAGGCGGUUCUGCAAGUUUGGUGUGAAAUCUCCCGGCUUAACUGGGAGGGUGCGCCGAAAACUGCAAAGCUAGAGUACUGGAGAGGAAAGCGGAAUUCCUGGUGUAGCGGUGAAAUGCGUAGAUAUCAGGAGGAACACCGGUGGUGUAGACGGCUUUCUGGACAGUAACUGACGCUGAGACACGAAAGCGUGGGGAGCAAGCAGG
rnacentral:rRNA from 1 species